rnacentral:rRNA from 1 species
GUCAAGUCAUCAUGGCCCUUACGCCCAGGGCUACACACGUGCUACAAUGGCGCUUACAGAGUGUUGCGAGCAGGUGACUGCGAGCCAAUCACAAAAAGAGCGUCUCAGUUCGGAUUGCAGGCUGCAACUCGCCUGCAUGAAGUUGGAAUCGCUAGUAAUCGCGCAUCAGCAAAGCCGCGGUGAAUGCGUUCUCGGGGAUU